rnacentral:rRNA from 1 species
CCUACGGGCGGCAGCAGUGAGGAAUAUUGGUCAAUGGGCGCGAGCCUGAACCAGCCAAGUCGCGUGAGGGAAGACGGUCCUAUGGAUUGGAAAACUCUUUUGUCGGGGAGCAAAAGAAGACACGCGUGGCGUUCCGAGAGUACCCGAAGAAAAAGCAUCGGAUAACUCCGUGCCAGCAGCCGCGGUAAUACGGAGGAUCCGAGCGUUAUCCGGAGUUGAUGGGUUUCAAGGGAGCGUAGGUGGAUUGUUAAGUCAGUUGUGAAAUUUUGCGGCUCCACCGUAAAAUUGCAGUUGACACUGGCAGUCUUGAGUACAGUAGAGGUGGGCGGAAUUCGUGUUGUAGCGG